rnacentral:rRNA from 1 species
CUCUAAGGCUAAAUACUCGUGAUCGACCGAUAGUGAACCAGUACCGUGAGGGAAAGGCGAAAAGAACCCCGGAGAGGGGAGUGAAAUAGAUCCUGAAACCGUAUACGUACAAGCAGUAGGAGCAGACUUGUUCUGUGACUGCGUACCUUUUGUAUAAUGGGUCAGCGACUUAAGUUCAGUAGCAAGCUUAACCGUUUAGGGGAGGCGUAGGGAAACCGAGUCUUAAUAGGGCGAUUUAGU